CUAGAAGUACACGAGCAACGGAAGUUAAAAAAUCGGGCAAGAUUGAACGCAAAGGCAAGCGGGACAUUUGAGGAUGGGGUGACUGCGUACCUUUUGUAUAAUGGGUCAGCGACUUAUAUUCUGUAGCAAGGUUAACCGUAUAGGGGAGCCGUAGGGAAACCGAGUCUUAACUGGGCGAAUGAGUUGCAGGGUAUAGACCC
rnacentral:rRNA from 1 species